UAAAAUGAUAUUUUCAUAAAACCAUCUUAAUAAUAAUAAUCUGGAGUUAAUUAUUAGUAACGUGAAAACCAAACAAUUUACUUACUGAAAUUUUCAAGACCCAAAUGUCAUCGUACAAGAACUACUAACAAAGAUCAUAUCUAAAGUGAUAUCCAAAAAUAAAGUAAAUAAAGAAUGUUUCAUUGCCCGAAAGAUGGACAAGAACAAAUAAGAUGACCCAUGGCAGCCUGGAGACGGAGUGCUCACCCUUGGAUCAAGAUCUGCUAUCAAACUCUAGAGGUGAGGUCAUGUCUGAGCCUAGAACGCUAUCUGCACUCAACAAAAGAAGAGUACAGGGUAGUAUCAGUAAAAACCACUAUGUACUAGUAGGUAUCAUAGGCCAACUCAAUUUAAUAACAUGUACACAAUAUAAAUCAAAUAACAAGUAGACAUGCAUCGUCACACAAUAAAUAUUCAAUGAAGCAAUAAUAUAACAACAACAGGUCAAACAGUACUCACAAACAAGCCACAAAACCAUCAAGAGUAUUAACCACACUGUAAACAUCCACAGAUCUAACACAAAUAUAUACACACAUGCUAUGAGACUUAUUUUUUUCCAAAUAGUCAUGACCUACAGGGAACAAUCUAUGUUCAUGUAUCAUACCGGUGUGGUACCCGAUCCAACAUAAAUAUAAAUGUAUCGGCGUGGUACCCGAUCCAACAUAAAUAUAAACGUACCAGCGUGGUACCCGAUCCAACAUAAAUAUAAACGUACCGACGUGGUACCCGAUCCAACAUAAAUAUAAAUGUACCGGCGUGGUACCCGAUCAACAUAAAUAUAAACGUACCGGCGUGGUACCCGAUCCAACAUAAACAUAACCAAGUAGUAUCAAUAUCAAUUUACACAACCUUAUAGCAUGCCACACAAUGUACCAAGUUUACAAGUACACUUAAAGUCAUAAGACAAUUCCAUCAAGUCAAUUUUCAAUAAACAUUUAUACACAAAUCAACAAUCCAAACAUCAACAAUUUCAAGCAUGUCCGAAUACCAAUCCACAAGUAUCCAAUUUAGGAGCAUACACACAAUUAAAUUGAGUUUAAACUCUAAUUAAACUGUAACCUACCUCAACCAAUGAAUCUAAACGUAGUUAGUCCACAAGCGCCUUGCUUUUCCUCAAAGAUUAAGAACGUUCAAAAUUUGUUCCAACAUAAUAAAUACUCCCCGUAAAAGUAUGAAUCUAAUAACACGCGUUGAUAAAUUUUCUGUAAAAUUCUAAACCUAAAACCAAAAGGUUUCUAUUAAGAAGAUUGUAGUUAGUAACAAAUGCAUGAAAAAUUUUCCUAAGGCCUAAUAUAACCAUGAAUACGCACUGCUGGAAUUAAGAAAUCUUUACAUUAUCCAACUUCCCCCCUACGUCAUCAUCGUAGGCCUAUGAUUAAAAAUCUUUACACAAUUAUUAGAAAAGAACAAGAUUUAUAUAACAUGGAUACCUAAUUCUAAAACAACAAUACACUUAUUUGUGCACCACUGCCUAACAUCACACACCCUCACAUUACUGUACACCACUUCCCAUGACAUGAUAGUUACCUAUUAGUAGAUAAAACUUCAAUUCCACAACCUAAAUAGCCUAAUUAGUUCGUCACUUUUCAUAGCAAUGCCACUGCAUCUUUUCGUUAUUAACCACCAGAAGAGAAGAUAAUUUUAAUAGAUUGGUUACAAAUUGAUAAACUCGUUACAGUGGUACAUGUGUACACAUCUUAAUUCAAUGAAAAUCUAACCUGGAGUUUACACCGAGAGAUGAGAGAUUCUUUUUGAAAAUUCAAUGGUGAAACCGUAGGUUUCAUGCCCCACUUCUUGCCCUAAUAUAUGAUGAUAUUAAU
rnacentral:lncRNA from 1 species